rnacentral:rRNA from 1 species
GAUGAACGCUGGCGGCGUGCCUAAUACAUGCAAGUCGAGCGAACGGACGAGAAGCUUGCUUCUCUGAUGUUAGCGGCGGACGGGUGAGUAACACGUGGAUAACCUACCUAUAAGACUGGGAUAACUUCGGGAAACCGGAGCUAAUACCGGAUAAUAUUUUGAACCGCAUGGUUCAAAAGUGAAAGACGGUCUUGCUGUCACUUAUAGAUGGAUCCGCGCUGCAUUAGCUAGUUGGUAAGGUAACGGCUUACCAAGGCAACGAUGCAUAGCCGACCUGAGAGGGUGAUCGGCCACACUGGAACUUGGCCACGGUCCAGACUCCUACGGGAGGCAGCAGUAGGGAAUCUUCCGCAAUGGGCGAAAGCCUGACGGAGCAACGCCGCGUGAGUGAUGAAGGUCUUCGGAUCGUAAAACUCUGUUAUUAGGGAAGAACAUAUGUGUAAGUAACUGUGCACAUCUUGACGGUACCUAAUCAGAAAGCCACGGCUAACUACGUG